rnacentral:rRNA from 1 species
UGGGGAAUAUUGCACAAUGGGCGCAAGCCUGAUGCAGCCAUGCCGCGUGUAUGAAGAAGGCCUUCGGGUUGUAAAGUACUUUCAGCGAGGAGGAAGGCGUUGUGGUUAAUAACCGCAGCGAUUGACGUUACUCGCAGAAGAAGCACCGGCUAACUCCGUGCCAGCAGCCGCGGUAAUACGGAGGGUGCAAGCGUUAAUCGUAAUUACUGGGUGUAAAGCGCACGCAGGCGGUCUGUCAAGUCGGAUGUGAAAUCCCCGGGCUCAACCUGGGAACUGCAUCCGAAACUGGCAGGCUAGAGUCUUGUAGAGGGGGGUAGAAUUCCAGGUGUAGCGGUGAAAUGCGUAGAGAUCUGGAGGAAUACCGGUGGCGAAGGCGGCCCCCUGGACAAAGACUGACGCUCAGGUGCGAAAGCGUGGGGAGCAAACA